AUAUUAUAUCAUUAUAUAAAUUAUAUUAUAAAAUAUUAUAAUAUAAAUAAUAUGGGUCGCCAAUUCAAAUAAUAUUUUCUGAUUUUUGAUUUUUUUUUUUAAAUUACCCAUAUGGGUCGCGGUUUGAAAGCGCGCCCCACACAUAUAUAUUUGUGUUUGGGUCGCUCUUUCAAAGCGCGACCCUUACUGGAAUAUAUUUCUGGUGUGGGUCGCGUUUUCUCCACUCAUUUAGACUGGUUAGUUUUGAAAACUCGAAAAAAAACUGGUUAGAAAUGAAAAGUGGCUGAAUGAAUUGGUUAGAAAUGAGAGGGAGCC
rnacentral:lncRNA from 1 species